rnacentral:miRNA from 1 species
GUGUCUGUUUCCUGCCGGA